CUAUGCGGUUCUCCUGGUACGUGAAAAAUAAUGGACGAUUCCACACCUGUCAACUUUAACCUGGAGUCAAAAUUAAUUUUCUGCUGUGAAAGGAAAACCUUUAUAUUGGAAAUGUAGAGAAAUGGACCAUGCGCAGUACCGUUACAGUAGUUUAGCAGAACAUUUCAAAAUAAAGUAGAUUUUAACUAAUUUCGACGAGCUGUUCCGCAAACAUGCCUGCUCCGCAAUAGUGACUAUACUAUAGUUAUUUUAUUGUCAUGUUUGAAAUGUUGCCAACUCAAAAUGACAUGUAAAGAUCCAUAAUUUAUUUUAAUUACACGCUUUCCAUCGAAUUUAAAUAGAUUUUUAUAGAUCUAGAGUCUAAAUCAAUAAAAAGAUUUCCUAGAAUUUAGAAAAAAAAAACACACCCUAAAUCUAGAUCUAUUAAGUAUUAUUCUAUACACAAUUACACAUAGAGUAGACAAAUUUAAAAUAUUUUAUGUCUAAGUCUAGUCUAUGUCAGCCUCUCUGUUGCUGUGGAACAGUUUGAUGGACAUGGCUCAAAAGGACACCACUAUUAGCUAUUUAAUCCACUGCAGUUUACAUAUAUGACUUUUUUUCAUCAGUUACUAUAUAGAUCUAGACUUUACAUCGGACCUUUAUCUAGAGACGCAGAUUAUAUACACUUAAACUCCCCCUCCACAUUAAAUUAUUUAAAUAGCUCAAUGAGAUCAAAUUGUCACGAACUGUAAACAAUAAAAUAUAAUAUGAUCCUUAAACACACACACUUUUAAUAGACCCUCAUUGCAGUUUCACUAAUGACAAUUCUUUAAAUUUCUAGUUUUUUUUAUUAAUAAUAAGUACUUAAUUAAAUCAGAAAAGAAAAAUAGAAAAAGAAAAAAGUUUAUUAAGGUGGAUCUUUUAACUUGUGUCUUUAUCUCAUCACUAAUUUUUUAAAUAUUUUUUUUGUUGUUGGAAUGCUAAUAAAUCCAAAUGUUUCAUAUAGUUUUUGCAUAUUUGUAGUUUUAAAAUUUACAUUUAUUUUAAUAUGAAAAGAAAUCAAAUUAUGUAUACACAAAUACAAAUAUUGCUUCUGUGCCUUUUUUUUAUAAGUGUAGUAAUUUUUUAAAUAACAUUUUAGUUUAACUUGCGUAGGAUGUUGGCAGUAAAGAGACUUUACAUAGAGACUGAAAUAAUAAUUAGAAAAAAAAUAACACCACAUUAAUAAUCAAGUUUAUUUUUUUAGAAGACAUGUGCAUAAUGUAAAAUACUGUAAUUUAAAAUAAUAAUAUGAUAAUGUCUAUAAAUAGCAAUGAAGUUAAUUGAUGAGAUAUGUACACACUUCAAUUUUUUAAAAAAAGAGUAUAACCUGUAUGUAUGCAGAAAAUUGUAUGAUCUUUUUAUCCAUAUUGAUGUAAUAAUAAAUUUAAAGUAUGAAUUAGCUUUUUCAAAAUAUAAAUUCAAAUAAAAUUGAGAUUAUUGCAUUUCUAAAUGUUUUGAUGUUUUUGUUUUAAAAAAAUGUUUAAGUUUAGAAGUAUAUUCCAGAAGACAUUUAUUAAACAUUCUUCAAAUGUACUCUUUAUACUUGAGUACAUUAAUUUGUAUAUAGCUAGGUGUAAAGUUUAAAAAGAUGCUGAUUUAAAAAAAAAUGGAACCCUAAAAUACAUAAAGACUUUUCAUUCAAUAAAACAUCCAAGACACAAUGGAUCUCAAAUUGCUUUUUUUUUCUCUCCACCUAAUAUUGUUCAGAAUGAGCUGAUUAGAAGAGUCAUUUUUCCUUACAAUGAAACAUCAUACAAUGACAAUUUCAUCACAUCAUUGUUAAAUAUCAUCAUUAUAUACAUUGUAUCAAAAAGUUGAAUCUUUUUUAAAGCAUAAAAGGUAAGUCCAUGUUCUUUUCCCCAGUUCCAAAGUAACAUGAUCCAUAUUUCUGAGAUGCUGGUACAUGAUAAAAAACAUAUCCAGGCCACUGAAGACUUCUUAAUAUUAGUAAACCACUCCCUCUCUCAAAC